AACGAACGCUGGCGGCGUGCCUAACACAUGCAAGUCGAACGGAAUUAGAGAGCUUGCUCUUUGAUUUAGUGGCGCACGGGUGAGUAACGCGUAGAUAAUCUGCCUGACGAGCUGGGAUAACACUUCGAAAGAGGUGCUAAUACAGGAUAAGCUCACGGGUUCAUUGGAUUCUGAGGGAUAAGGGGGGGACCUUCGGGCCUUCUGUCGUCAGAUGAGUGUGCGUACGAUUAGCUCGUUGGUAGGGUAAGGGCCUACCAAGGCGACGAUGGUUAGCUGUUGUGAGAGGAUGAUCAGCCACACUGGAAUUGAGACACGGUCCAGACUCCUACGGGAGGCAGCAGUGGGGAAUUUUGCGCAAUGGGCGAAAGCCUGACGCAGCAACGCCGCGGGAGUGAUGAAGGCUUUCGGGUCGUAAAGCUCUGUCAAUGGGAAAGAAGUGUAUUUUGGCUAAUAUCCUUAAUACUUGACGGUACCCAUAAAGGAAGCACCGGCUAACUCCGUGCCAGCAGCCGCCGUAAGAC
rnacentral:rRNA from 1 species